GAACGGCAGCACGGGAGCAAUCCUGGUGGCGAGUGGCGAACGGGUGAGUAAUAUAUCGGAACGUGCCCAGUAGUGGGGGAUAGCCCGGCGAAAGCCGGAUUAAUACCGCAUACGACCUACGGGUGAAAGCGGGGGAUCGCAAGACCUCGCGCUAUUGGAGCGGCCGAUAUCAGAUUAGCUUGUUGGUGGGGUAAAAGCCUACCAAGGCGACGAUCUGUAGCUGGUCUGAGAGGACGACCAGCCACACUGGGACUGAGACACGGCCCAGACUCCUACGGGAGGCAGCAGUGGGGAAUUUUGGACAAUGGGCGCAAGCCUGAUCCAGCCAUGCCGCGUGUGGGAAGAAGGCCUUCGGGUUGUAAACCACUUUUGUCAGGGAAGAAACGGUUCUUACUAAUAUUAAGAACUAAUGACGGUACCUGAAGAAUAAGCACCGGCUAACUACGUGCCAGCAGCCGCGGUAAUACGUAGGGUGCAAGCGUUAAUCGGAAUUACUGGGCGUAAAGCGUGCGCAGGCGGCUUUGCAAGACAGAUGUGAAAUCCCCGGGCUCAACCUGGGAACUGCAUUUGUGACUGCAUGGCUAGAGUACGGUAGAGGGGGAUGGAAUUCCGCGUGUAGCAGUGAAAUGCGUAGAUAUGCGGAGGAACACCGAUGGCGAAGGCAAUCCCCUGGACCUGUACUGACGCUCAUGCACGAAAGCGUGGGGAGCAAACA
rnacentral:rRNA from 1 species